GCCAUACACUGGCAUGCUUACAAAGAAAUAAUAAAGCGUGAACUUGUUAGGAAGCUUUUUAAAAAGGCAUGUCUUUGAAAGUGUAUUUCCAUGACAGCUUAAGUUGUGAGCAUCUUUCUUUUUAGGUUGCUCUAUUUUUAAGAUGAGCUGAGUUUAGUCCUUCACUUGUUUUCAAUUCUUGUGCUGAAAAUUGCAUGAUGGCUUUUGGUCAUUUGUUGCUGACAUAUUUU
rnacentral:misc_RNA from 1 species